AAUAUUGGUCAAUGGGCGCAAGCCUGAACCAGCCAUGUCGCGUGCAGGACGACUGNCCNNUGGGUNGNAAACUGCUUUUAUAGNNNNNAAAACACAUCUACGUGUAGAUGUCCACCAGCACACUAUGAAUAAGCAUCGGCUAACUCAGUGCCAACAGCCGCGGUAAUACGGAGGAUGCAAACGUUAUCCGGAUUUAUUGGGUUUAAAGGGUGCGUAGUCGGGACUGUAAGUCAGGGGUGAAAUACUGCAGCUUAACUGUAGCAUUGCCUUUGAAACUGCCGUUCUUGAGUACAGUUGAGGUAGGCGGAAUGUGGUGUGUAGCGGUGAAAUGCAUAGAUAUACCACAGAACGCCGAUUGCGAAGGCAGCUUACUAAGCUGUUACUGACGCUGAGGCACGAAAGCGUGGGGAUCAAACAGG
rnacentral:rRNA from 1 species